rnacentral:rRNA from 1 species
AGAACGAACGCUGGCGGCAGGCCUAAUACAUGCAAGUCGAACGCACUCUUCGGAGUGAGUGGCAGACGGGUGAGUAACGCGUGGGAACCUUCCCAAUGGUACGGAAUAACUCCGGGAAACCGGUGCUAAUACCGUAUAAGCCCCUCGGGGGAAAGAUUUAUCGCCAUUGGAUGGGCCCGCGUCGGAUUAGCUAGUUGGUAAGGUAAUGGCUUACCAAGGCUACGAUCCGUAGCUGGUCUGAGAGGAUGAUCAGCCACACUGGGACUGAGACACGGCCCAGACUCCUACGGGAGGCAGCAGUAGGGAAUCUUGGACAAUGGGCGAAAGCCUGAUCCAGCCAUGCCGCGUGAGUGAAGAAGGCCUUAGGGUUGUAAAGCUCUUUUGGCGGGGACGAGUAAUGACGGUACCCGCAGAAUAAGCCCGGCUAACUUCGUGCCAGCAGUCGC